GUGCGAAGAUUCACCAGUGGAGAGUCCACAUCAGACACACAGUGAAGAUAGUCGUGAUUGUAGUUAUUAAAAUAAUGAUGAUAAUAAUAAUAAUGUUUUCAUGAUGUCAGGAGAUCAGAGCUUCUUCAAAAUGUAGGAAAAACUCUUCUUCAGAUUAAAUGAAUCCUUUAGAAUGUGGAGAACUCAUCAUGGUUCCUCUGAGGUUCCACCGUCUCAGUGAGGUUCAGUCACACUGGACCCGGUUUAGACUGAUGUUGGUCUGGUUUGAAUGGGUUCAGACUGGUUCUACACUGGUUCCAGACUUUAUACUGGGUUUUAGAGUAGUUUUAGACUGGUUAUGGUGUAGUUUUCAGCUGGUUUUGGACCUGGUGUUCGACUGGUUUUGGUUUGGUUUUACCAUAAUUUUACAUUUUUAUGUUUUAGAUUUAUAGACUUAUAACUUGGUCUUAGAUUAGUUUCUGACCUGGUUUAAGACUUUUUGUAAACUGUCUUUUAAAAAACUCAUUUCAGACCUGUUCCUUAACUGUUUUUAUACUGAUUUCAGACUGGUUUUGGUCUGGUUCUACUCUGGUUCUUAGGUUGGUUCUUCUCUGGUUUUGGUCUGGUUCUACUCUGGUUCUUAGGUUGGUUUUACUGUGGUUUUCAUCUGGUUCUACUCUGGUUCUUAGGUUGGUUAAACUCUGGUUUUGGUCUGGUUCUACUCUGGCUCUUAGGUUGGUUCUACUCUGAUCAUUAGGUUGGUUCUACUGUGGUUGUUAGGUUGGUUCUACUCUGGUUGUUAGGCUGGUUCUGCUGUGGUUUUGGUCUUGUUCUGCUCUGGUUGUUAGGUUGGUUCUACUCUGGUUGUUCGGUUGGUUCUACUCUGGCUGUUAGGUUGGUUCUACUCUAGUUGUUAGGUUGGUUCUACUCUGGUUUUGGUCUGGUUCUACUCUGGUUUUGGUCUGGUUCUACUCUGGUUUUUAGGUUGGUUCUACUGUGGUUUGGGUCUGGUUCUACUGAAGCUUUCAUUGAAGAGCUUUCACUCAAACGGCGUGAGGAUGAAAUAAUUCUACUGCUUCUGUGAUCGUCUCUGCAGUUCGAGCUAAACGUUGCGUCGCCAAAAACACUCUUGACGACGACGAAGAGGACGAAGGCGAAGAGUACGACGACAGCUUCAUCAACGACGACAGCGAGGACGUCAGUGACGACUCAGACUACGUCCCUCCAGACUCAGACGACGACGGCAGGGAGGACGUCAAACGGCUGCGGAGAGAAGCUGCGACUUUCCUGAAGAGGAGGAAGUAGAUUCAUGUCGGGUUCAAAGAUCUGAAGCUUCAUUUACAGCUUUGAGUGGAAACACCAACAAGUCAGACGUCUGGAUCCAAACAGCCUCAAAUAUGGGGAAAAUUCAGGGAUAAUCAGCCAGUGCCUGGUUCUGUAUCUCCAGUGAAUUUAUUAAUGAUCAGAGUUCUUCCUUCAGAGUGGGGCUAUAUCCAGAGUUCCAGGUCCUUGCAGUCCAUAGAGGUGGUCCAAGAUAUUAAUAAGUGAUCUUUCCAGUUGUCAGUAGGUCUACUCUAGAACUUUCUCCAGUUGUCAGUAGGUCUACUCUAGAACUUCCUCCAGGGGACGUUUAGUCUCACUUAGAAACACAUCUGAGUUCUGGGAAACAUUACCACCAUUUAGGAUGAUAUUCAAGUCAUUUUGGACAAUCUUUGAGGAAUUUUAAACAUUUUCUUGUCGUUAUGAACACAUUUGGACUUAUUUUGGACAGAUCUGAAAAUGUUUUAAACAAAUUUGUGUGAUUUCUCAUAAGUUUAGUUUUAUUUAAAUACUAUUUUUGAACAAUUUCUGUGUACAUUUCUGUAAGUCUUCAGAGCUGAAUGUUCUAAGUGAGACUAACCUUAAAGACUGGAAGCAGGAAAGGAGAACAUCCCCUGGAGAAAGUUCUAGAAUAGACCUACCGACAACUGUAGAAAGUUCUAGAGUAGACCUACCGACAACUAGAGAAAGUUCUAGAGUAGACCUACCGACAAGUGGAGAAAGUUCUAGAGUAGACCUACGGACAACUCUUAGGAUCACUGAUUAGACCGUCUAAAAGUGGUAAAUCUGUCUCUGAUUUGAGCGUUGAUCUCGACAGAACCAGAACCGAUCAGUUUCUCCGAUCAUGAUAAAGUAACAAUUCAGACUUUUUGUGCCUUUUAUAUGAAGAAACGUUGGCAGGUGAGCUUGUGUUCGGGGACUUUAAACAUGAUCUUUGUGACGAUGAAUGAAAACGUUUGUUCUGUUUGUAUUUUAUCUGAAUUGUAUCUGUCUGCAAAUCUGCUCUUGUGCUUUGAAUACAUCCAGUAAAACAGACCAGUGUCCUGCUGAUGUUUUCCAGAGGCGGCAGAACGUUGAACCAAAUGUCUGUCGAUUAACUGAUGGACAAAAGAUUAUUGGUAAACUAUUUUAAUAUGAUAAAAUGUCCUUUCAUAUGUUUUAAGAAAUCUGAAGCACUUUCUCAGUACAUGUCAAAUAUUUUCUGUUUUUAAUCAACAAACUGGAUUUUUUGUUUGGUCACACAGACUCAGAAAUCUGAAGAUGAUUAUUGAACUUUUCACUGUUUAGUGUCAUUUUAGAGACAAAAUCCAUUAUAGAGAUAAUCAUCAGUGCCAGAAAACAGGAAAAUAGAAUCCCAUUAUUAUAAUCUGUGUUCUUUAACUUGAAUAAUAGGGUUAAAGUUGAAUUUGAAUUGUGAUUUGAAGUUGAAUUUAUGAGAUGGAGCUUGAAUUCAGUCUGAUGAAUCCAAUAUAAACACAAAUGAUUCUGUUUCAGUUCAUGUUUCUGUCUGAAGCCGACCAGACGUCUUCAACCACAAAUUCAGAAUGAUUGAAUUGUGGUGUUUUUGUGUGUCUUUGUUGUUGUUUUUGUGUCCGUUUGUGUUUCUUUACGUGUUUUUGUGUCUCUUUGUGUUGUUUCUGUGUUUCUUUAUGGUGUUUUUGUGUCUCUGUGUUGUUUUUGGGCCUCUGCAUUGUUUUUGU
ensembl:lncRNA